GUCGAACGAUGAACUCCAGCUUGCUGGGGGGAUUAGUGGCGAACGGGUGAGUAACACGUGAGUAACCUGCCCUUGACUCUGGGAUAAGCGCUGGAAACGGCGUCUAAUACCGGAUACGAGCUUCAGCCGCAUGGCUAGGAGUUGGAAAGAAUUUCGGUCAAGGAUGGACUCGCGGCCUAUCAGCUAGUUGGUGAGGUAAUGGCUCACCAAGGCGACGACGGGUAGCCGGCCUGAGAGGGUGACCGGCCACACUGGGACUGAGACACGGCCCAGACUCCUACGGGAGGCAGCAGUGGGGAAUAUUGCACAAUGGGCGAAAGCCUGAUGCAGCAACGCCGCGUGAGGGAUGACGGCCUUCGGGUUGUAAACCUCUUUUAGUAGGGAAGAAGCGAAAGUGACGGUACCUGCAGAAAAAGCACCGGCUAACUACGUGCCAGCAGCCGCGGUAAUACGUAGGGUGCAAGCGUUGUCCGGAAUUAUUGGGCGUAAAGAGCUCGUAGGCGGUUUGUCGCGUCUGCUGUGAAAUCUGGGGGCUCACCCCCCAGCCUGCAGUGGGUACGGGCAGACUAGAGUGCGUUAGGGGAGAUUGAAAUUCCUGGUGUAGCGGUGGAAUGCGCAGAUAUCAGGAGGAACACCGAUGGCGAAGGCAGAUCUC
rnacentral:rRNA from 1 species